GCUGGGGCUUUAGCUCAGUGGUAGAGCGCAAGUCUCGCACCUGUGAGGCACUGGGUUUGAUCCUCAGCACAACA
rnacentral:tRNA from 1 species